GGAGUUAGCCGGUGCUUCUUCUGCGAGUAACGUCACAGAUGUAAGGUAUUAACUUACACCCUUUCCUCCUCGCUGAAAGUGCUUUACAACCCGAAGGCCUUCUUCACACACGCGGCAUGGCUGCAUCAGGGUUUCCCCCAUUGUGCAAUAUUCCCCACUGCUGCCUCCCGUAGGAGUCUGGGCCGUGUCUCAGUCCCAGUGUGGCUGAUCAUCCUCUCAGACCAGCUAGGGAUCGUCGCCUAGGUGAGCCUUUACCUCACCUACUAGCUAAUCCCACCUGGGCUUAUCCAUCAGCGCAAGGCCCGAAGGUCCCCUGCUUUCCCCCGUAGGGCGUAUGCGGUAUUAGCAGUCGUUUCCAACUGUUAUCCCCCACAAAUGGGCAAAUUCCCAGGCAUUACUCACCCGUCCGCCGCUCGUCAUCUUCAAAAGCAAGCUUUUGAAAUGUUACCGCUCGACUUGCAUGUGUUAGGCCUGCCGCCAGCGUUCAAUCUGAGCCANAGANACCAAGUCUGACUCGGGACUCGGGGCUAGGGCCGAACGGACG
rnacentral:rRNA from 1 species